CGUCGAGCGGUAACUGAUCUAGCUUGCUAGAUGCUGACGAGCGGCGGACGGGUGAGUAAUGCAUAGGAAUCUGCCCGGUAGUGGGGGAUAACCUGGGGAAACCCAGGCUAAUACCGCAUACGUCCUACGGGAGAAAGGGGGCUUCGGCUCCCGCUAUUGGAUGAGCCUAUGUCGGAUUAGCUAGUUGGUGAGGUAAAGGCUCACCAAGGCAACGAUCCGUAGCUGGUCUGAGAGGAUGAUCAGCCACAUCGGGACUGAGACACGGCCCGAACUCCUACGGGAGGCAGCAGUGGGGAAUAUUGGACAAUGGGGGCAACCCUGAUCCAGCCAUGCCGCGUGUGUGAAGAAGGCCCUCGGGUUGUAAAGCACUUUCAGCGAGGAAGAACGCCUAGCGGUUAAUACCCGUUAGGAAAGACAUCACUCGCAGAAGAAGCACCGGCUAACUCCGUGCCAGCAGCCGCGGUAAUACGGAGGGUGCAAGCGUUAAUCGGAAUUACUGGGCGUAAAGCGCGCGUAGGUGGCUUGAUAAGCCGGUUGUGAAAGCCCCGGGCUCAACCUGGGAACGGCAUCCGGAACUGUCAGGCUAGAGUGCAGGAGAGGAAGGUAGAAUUCCCGGUGUAGCGGUGAAAUGCGUAGAGAUCGGGAGGAAUACCAGUGGCGAAGGCGGCCUUCUGGACUGACACUGACACUGAGGUGCGAAAGCGUGGGUAGCAAACAGGAUUAGAUACCCUGGUAGUCCACGCCGUAAACGAUGUCGACCAGCCGUUGGGUGCCUAGAGCACUUUGUGGCGAAGUUAACG
rnacentral:rRNA from 1 species